rnacentral:rRNA from 1 species
GACGAACGCUGGCGGCGUGCCUAAUACAUGCAAGUAGAACGCUGAAGGAGGAGCUUGCUCUUCUGGAUGAGUUGCGAACGGGUGAGUAACGCGUAGGUAACCUGCCUGGUAGCGGGGGAUAACUAUUGGAAACGAUAGCUAAUACCGCAUAAGAGUAGAUGUUGCAUGACAUUUACUUAAAAGGUGCAAUUGCAUCACUACCAGAUGGACCUGCGUUGUAUUAGCUAGUUGGUGGGGUAACGGCUUACCAAGGCGACGAUACAUAGCCGACCUGGGAGGGUGAUCGGCGACACUGGGACGUAGACACGGCCCAGACUCCUACGGGAGGCAGCAGUAGGGAAUCUUCGGCAAUGGACGGAAGUCUGACCGAGCAACGCCGCGUGAGUGAAGAAGGUGUUCGGAUCGUAAAGCUCUGUUGUAAGAGAAGAACGAGUGUGGGAGUGGAAAGUGCACACUGUGACGGUAUCUUACCAGAAAGCGACGGCUAACUACGUG